rnacentral:rRNA from 1 species
GGACCUGACUGCUAUCGGAUUGAUACUAAGCCAUGCGAGUCAUUGUAGCAAUACAAGGCAGACGGCUCAGUAACGCGUAGUCAACCUACCCUAUGGACGGGAAUAACCUCGGGAAACUGAGUAUAAUGCCCGAUAGAACAUUAUGCCUGGAAUGGUUUAUGUUCCAAAUGAUUUAUCGCCGUAGGAUGGGACUGCGGCCUAUCAGUUUGUUGGUGAGGUAAUGGCCCACCAAGACUAUUACAGGUACGGGCUCUGAGAGGAGUGGCCCGGAGAUGGGUACUGAGACACGGACCCAGGCCCUAUGGGGCGCAGCAGGCGAGAAAACUUUGCAAUGUGCGAAAGCACGACAAGGUUAAUCAGAGUGGUUUCUGCUAAAGGAACCUUUUGUCAGUCCUAGAAACACUGAUGAAUAAGGGGUGGGCAAGUUCUGGUGACG